UUAUUUAGUUAGUACAAAGUACUGAAACCAAUGAGAGAAAACUAGUUACCCAUUUCUAUUUGGAAUAUGCCUUUUGUGGCUGAGGAAUAAUCCUUCCAUCACAUGGCAUCUUUGGAACCUAUAAACGGUACCAUAUCCAUACAAAAAAAAAAGAGAUUUUUUUUAGCAUCACUUUUACUGCAAAAAAUCUCUCUUUCCUAUUCUGAAAAGGAUCAGAUCUCAGAAAAAUUCAAAAACUUUCAAACCUCUUAUUUUUAGGUUUUCUAUAAGUUGAGAACAUGGUUUGAAUAGAAAAUUUUCCUAGUUCUCUAGUUGGAGUUUCUGGUUUAAAGCUGGUUUUUGGGUUGCUAUCUGAAUCUCUGGACAUUUUUUUUGGUUUGGUUGUUGCUGCUGUCUACUGCUGAACUUCAGUUCUUGGAUAAAGUUCUAUUGUCUAUUUUGCAACUAAAGGUACACACCCUAAACUCCGUGUUUGGUUGGUUCCACCUUUCUAUCCCUUCAUGCUUUAUGUGUUUGCUGUGAUGUAGUAAUCAUGUAAAGUUGUGGUUGAUUUUGAAAUGGAGACCUUUUAUACUAUUGUCUCUCAUCUGUUUCUUUUUUUUCUGUGUGUUUGAGAAUCUAUUUUGAUAUUCUGUGAUGUUUGAGCGCAAGGCAUAAGUAUAAAAGUGUGCUUAAGGCUAUCAUAUAUUGUUGACAUUAUGUUUAUGGUAAUAUAAGGUCUGAAUAAGUGCAUAUGCCUAUGAAGCUAUAUCUAAAUCCCUCUCUUAUAACAGCACAAAAGGAUUAAAAGGCUUAAUUUAUUCAAUAUGUGUUUAAGUCAUUUCCUCUUUCCCUUUUUUCCUAUUUUACUUAAAUGAGAGCCCUGAACUAAAUCAUGGUUUGGAAAUUUUUACAUGCCUAUAGGGUUAACCUUGAACAUUGUUAGACCUAUUGACUGUGUAUUCUUCCGUUACUCACUAUACUGUUAGGACUAACUUGACAACAUUGUAGGUCCCUUCUGAAGAGAUGCUCUUUUUUGUGAAUUUGACUCUUUCCACAUGGUCAAAUUCACGAAAAUCUUAGUUCAUUCAAGGCUGAAGCAGGGGCAGCUUGGGAUUUUCCUGCUUUUCAUUUGUUGUAAUGAGGUUUAAGACACUAAUGCAUUUCAUAUUCUGUAUUUUAUUCAGUUAUGAAUAUGUAUUAAAUUAGACUGGACUUUAUAAAUUUGUAGAUGAAUUAAUGUAGUUGGGCUCAUACGAAUUCAUGUGGAGUUUAGAAGAAACUAGUGUCAUGAUAAUAGCAGUUUGUUUGCGUGGAUGCUUAUUAUCUAAAGUCAGUUUUGAGCAGUAAAGUAACUUCAAACAUGUUAAAUUGAGGUUCAGGCAUGUAAAUUCAUUGUGUGAUGAUCGAUAUGUUAGUUGUG
rnacentral:lncRNA from 1 species